CGCACUGCUCCGGGGUGCCUUUGCGCUGAGACGGCUUUGAUGCCGAACCCGAUGAACUUGAACCGGUUAGUACCGGCGGAAGAAGAGCGUUUCCUGUUGCG
rnacentral:ncRNA from 2 species